rnacentral:rRNA from 1 species
AUACGGAGGGUCCGAGCGUUAAUCGGAAUUACUGGGCGUAAAGCGCGCGUAGGCGGUCUAUUAAGUCAGAUGUGAAAUCCCAGGGCUCAACCUUGGAACUGCAUCUGAUACUGGUAGACUAGAGUUUUGGAGAGGGAAGUAGAAUUUCAGGUGUAGCGGUGAAAUGCAUAGAGAUCUGAAGGAAUACCAGUGGCGAAGGCGACUUCCUGGCCAAAAACUGACGCUGAGGUGCGAAAGCGUGGGUAGCAAACGGGAUUAGAAACCCCAGUAGUCC